UGCGCUCGAAAAAUAACGUAUUUCCAAGUUGGCCAGGCCGUUUGUUGCCCUCGUCCCCCGCAUCCAAACCAAAACUGAAACCAAAUAUCGAGAUCGAGAUCGAGUUCAAGCGGGAACCGCUCCCAGUUGCCAGUGCCCAGGACCAGGAAGCCAAGACCAAAACUGUGCCCUGUGGGCGAGAGCGAGGCAGAGAGAAAGAGAGCAAACAGUGUUCAGUGUUCACUGUUCAGUUUGUUUUUGUUGCUGUGGUGUGAGUGAGUCAUGACGUUUCGGACGGCGUAGAAAAAGCCAGUUAACCGUCGUGCAUUGCAUAAAGCGGGAGCAGCCGCCCUUGCAUUCCAGGACAGGAUCCCAAACGAUCCGAUUCGCUCUGAAUCCCCAGUGGCCGUGGCCGCCAGGACCUGCAACAGCUGCGCCCAGUCUAUACAAACACACACACACUUGCGCACAGGAGCAGUGGCACCGAGUGUCACACCACACACACACACACCGACGCACGGGCACAGCCACAGCGCACGCACACAAUCGCAGCAGGCCGUCUGUCGUCACAGUUGGCUACACUUCAACUCGAGUCGGCUGGGAGUCGGAUUGAACAGUCGGGUAGAAAAGCAGCAACAGCAGCAGCAGUAUCAGCAACUUUCGCCGAACCCUAGCUCGAACCCACAACCAAGCCCACUCCCACUCCCAACCGCCGUCAUCAUGGUGGACCGCCUGGUCAACUCAGAGGCCAACACCCGGCGCAUCGCUUCCGUGGAGAGCUGCUUCGGCAGCUCGGGUGUGCCGCUGGCCAUGCAGGGCCGCGUCCUGGUGGGCGAGGGCGUCCUCACCAAGAUGUGCCGCAAGCGGCCCAAGUCGCGCCAGUUCUUUCUGUUCAACGACAUCCUCGUCUAUGGUAACAUCGUGAUUGGCAAGAAGAAGUACAACAAGCAGCACAUCAUGCCGCUGGAGGAGGUCUCGCUGGAGUCGAUUGCCGACAAUCAGGCGUACAGGAAUGGCUGGUACAUCCGCACCACCACCAAGUCGUUCGUGGUGUUCGCGGCCACCAGUACCGAGAAGCAGGAGUGGAUGGCCCACAUCAACAAGUGUGUGGAGGAUCUGCUACGCAAGAGCGGCAAGAAGCCGGUGGAGAACCAUGCCGCCGUGUGGGUGCCGGACACGGAUGCCAGCAUAUGCAUGCACUGCAAGAAGACGCAGUUCACUUUCAUUCAGCGCCGGCAUCACUGCCGCAACUGCGGCGCCGUCGUCUGCGCCGGCUGCUCGGCCAAGAAGUUCCUGCUGCCACAGCAGAGCACUAAGGCGCUGCGCGUCUGCGACGCCUGCUACGAACGCUUAAAGCAUGUGCCCAGCUCCCUGGACUCUGCAGCUGGUGGCGCCGCCGCCUCUGGCAACAAGCUCAACACAACUGCUGGCGACAGCUCCAACGACGAGGACUCCGACGAGGAGACAGCCUCCCCGGGCGGCGAAUCGCAUGACGAGCCGCGCUUUUACGGCGACAACAGCGUGCUCUCCGCCGCCGACGACUCCUCGACGAUAACAUCGCCCUCCUCCGCCACCUCCGCGCCGGCGGCCAGCAGCUUGGAGGCUCCCCAGGUGGCUCCGACCGUCCAGAGCUCUCCGCCUGCCGUAGCGACGGCGGGCAGCAACUGUUGAGCGGACCAGAUAGCAAAUGUUUAUGGUAGAUAUGACCAACUGAACUCUCACACACUCAACAGACAUCCUGCAGCCUUCAAGACGAACAACGGAAGCGAUGCGAGCAGGAGGAGAUUAAGGAGAUACGCAAGAUGACCGUAUUCAAGGCGCGUCCGAAUCCAUUUAAAUAGUGCUCGAUGGAACCAGUCGACUACCAAACAUUAAUCACCUUGUCCAAAUUUGUAUGAUGUAAAGUCGCUGCUACACAUUAACCGCGUCUACUACACCGGUACAUAGUUUUACCACAUUAACACAGUUUUCGUCUCUAACAUUACUUUUACGCGUAUAUUUCGUUCCCUUUUUUGGCGGAUAAGAAACCACUAAAAUCGUAUGUUUGGCGGGAGGAUUAAACUAUAUGGAUAUGUAUACAAUAUAAGCAAUUUGCAAUUGCGA